rnacentral:rRNA from 1 species
GCAUAACGCGAAGAACCUUACCUAGGCUUGACAUGCAUCUCUAAGCACGUGAAAGCGUGUGACCCUUCGGGGAAUUUGCACAGGUGCUGCAUGGCCGUCGUCAGCUCGUGUCGUGAGAUGUUGGGUUAAGUCCCGCAACGAGCGCAACCCCUGUGAUUUGUUGCCACCGGAGCAAUCCGAGCACUCGAAUCAGACUGCCCAGAUCAACUGGGAGGAAGGUGGGGAUGACGUCAAGUCCGUAUGGCCCUUACGCCUAGGGCUGCACACGUACUACAAUGCCCAGUACAAUGUGAACCGAGACCGCGAGGUGGAGGAAAUCAAUAAAACUGGGCCCAGUUCAGAUUGUAGGCUGCAACUCGCCUACAUGAAGUCGGAAUCGCUAGUAAUGGCGCAUCAGCAACGGCGCCGUG